CGUGGGUAAUCUGCCCAAGACACAGGAAUAACCAGUGGAAACGCUGGCUAAUGCCUGAUGAUGUGCCGGCCCCUCGGGGCUUGUACCAAAGGUAGCUUCGGCCUCCGGUCUUGGAUGAGCCCGCGUCCCAUUAGCUUGUUGGUGAGGUAACGGCCCACCAAGGCUUCGAUGGGUAGCUGGUCUGAGAGGACGAUCAGCCACACUGGGACUGAGACACGGCCCAG
rnacentral:rRNA from 1 species